AAUAUGGUAAUUUAGGUGUAAGUAAUUAAAGUGAUUAUUAAGGAUGCCUAGCAAACAUUUAUUUAAAGGAGGGCAUAAGUCCAAAAGUUAUUAUAAUUAAAUAGAUUAAUAACGAUCCUAAGGGAAACCGAAGAUUAAAAACGCAGUGAACUGAAACAUCUAAGUAACUGUAGGAAAGGAAAUCAACCGAGACUCCAUGAGUAGUGGCGAGCGAAAGUGGACCAAGCCUAUAUUAACAACCAAAUAAUCUCAUAGAAUUCUUUGGAAAAAGAAGUCCGUAGAAGGUGAAAGCCCUGUAUAUGAGGGUUAAUAAUAUUAAACAAGUAAAGUGGAAGAUAAUCUGCUUUAAUAUUGGGGAACCAUCCUCAAAGGCUAAGUAUAAAUGUUUAGCGAUAGUGAAGAGUAACGUGAGUGAAAGGUGAAAAGUAAGUCGAUGACUGUUGAAAUAGACCUGAAUUAGUAAUCAUAUAAGCAAUUAGAGCAUUUAAAUUAAGAACGAAUGUAAUAAUGUACCUUUUGUAUAAUGGGUAAGCGAGUUGAUGGUAGUAGCAAGGUUAAUAACCCUAGCGAAAGCGACUGACAUAUGUGCGGGAUUAGUUACUAUCUUCAGACCCGAAACGUGGUGAUCUAUCUAUGACCAGAUUAGUAAAUAGAUCGAAUGGUUCAAUGUUGCAGUAUUGUCCAAUGAGUUGUAGAUUGUCGGUGAAAGGCCAAUCUGACCACGAUAUAGCUGGUACUCCUCGAAACAUAUUUAGGUAUGACUUCCUGGUUUAGAUUUAUGCGGGUACAGCACUGAUUACCAUACUGAGUAUUUAUACAAGGUUUAAUUGGGGGGUCGUUAAGACUUUACCAUUGGUAUUUAACCUCGGAAACAACAUAAAUUGAUACAGGAAUUUCAGACUGCUCAUGAUAAGGUGGGUAGUCGAGACGGAAACAGCCGUGAACAUAGAAUAAGGUCCCAAAGUAAUGAUUAAGUGAAAUUAAGGAAGUGAUAGUUCUCAUACAACUAUAAAGUGAGCUUGGCAGUUGCUAUCUUUUAAUGAAAGUGUAACAACUUAGUAGUCUAAUGAAAUAUUGCGCCGAAGAUACACGGGUCUAGAUCAUUCACCGAAACUAUGUCUAUAUAUAUUUAAUAGAUUUUAGGUAUAUAUUAGGGUAGAGGAGCAUUCAGUAUGAUAGAAGAAUAGUGUUUCAUUAUUUGGACAUAACUGAAGAGAAAAUGCUUACAUGAGUAACGUAGAAAGAAGUUAUAAUACUUCUCGCCGAAUACGAAAGGGUUUCAAAGAAAUGUUAAACAGCUUUGAGUAAAGACGGCCUCUAAGGUUAUUGGCUAAUGUUAAUAAUUGAUGAGUUUGUAGUAGAAAGUCUUUGACCAAGAAAAUAAUACUAUAUUAAUACCGUACCCUAAACUGACACAAGUUCGUAGGUAGAGAAUACUAAGGCGUAGAGAUAAUACUGUUCAAGGAACUCGGCAAAAUGCGUCCGUACACUUGAUAAUAAGGACGACCAUAAUAGGUGUCACAAAAUCGUGAAGCACAACUGUUUACCAAAAACACAGGUAUCUGCUAUGUAUAACAACAUUGUAUAGGUGCUGAAUCUUGUCCGAUGUCUAGAGUAUAAUAUGGGUAUUGAAAGAUAUUUAUAGAACCUCUGAUCAAUGACAGUCUUAACUAUAAGGAUUUUAACAGUAGCGAAAUUCCUUGGCCGUUAAAUGCGGUCCUGCAUGAAUAGAGUAAUGAUGCUUCAGCUGUCUCAAACAGUAUCUCAGUGAAAUUGAAUUAGCCGUGAAGAUGCGGUUUAGGAGUGGGUAGACGGGAAGACCCUAUGCAGCUUUACUAUAAUCAGUUACGAUUUAAUCAGAAAUUAAGUUUAGAGUAGGGGGUAGUCGUUAGACGCAGGUGAAACACCCUCAUUAAUUCUGGUUUUAUAUUACCCUUAAUAGGGAAAAAUGACUGACCGGUAGUUUAACUGGGACGGUUUCCUCCAAUAGAGUAUCGGAGGACUUCAAAGGUAUGUUUUAUAUUAGAUGGAAACUAAUUCAUUAUGUAUAAUGAUGUAACACGUAAAGGUUUAAACAUGCUUAACUGCAAGACUGAUAAGUCAAGCAGAUACGUAAGUAGGACUUAGUGAUCCGGUGAUUCUUUAUGGAAAGAUCAUCGCUCAAGAAAUAAAAGUUACGCUAGGGAUAACAGGGUAAUAGCUCUCGAGAGUUCAUAUUGUCAGAGCUGUUUGCCACCUUAAUAUUUAUUGUAAAUACAAUAAACAUCGGGGAGCUUGUUUGGUAACAAAUAAGUAGAAGCCAAAAUAAUGCUGGAAUAACCAAAAUUAUGGUUAAUCAGCAAGAAUAGUGAAUAAUAAAUUAUUCUUCAACGAUCAAAAAUUGGUGUCCUAAUAUUUAGAACUCAUAAAAUAUUAGGAUAAAUAUAUGAUCUAAACAAUAAUGAAAAUUAUUGAUGUUGACACAUAUUAAUAAAUAGCGAUGUCGACUCACCUUAUCCUCUUGGUGUAUCAGCUAAGAAGGGUUCUGCUGUUCGCAGAUUAAAAAGGUACGCGAGUUGGGUUCAAUACGACGUGAGUCAGUAUGGUUCCUAUCUUCCACUCCAACAAAUAGU
rnacentral:rRNA from 1 species